rnacentral:lncRNA from 1 species
AAAAGGUCAAAUUAACACGAAAGUACGAUUUGAGAGUAUUCGCAGUUACUGACAGCUAUUUAAAAGCCAAAUCAAUUAAUAAUAAAAACAAAUCAUGCGCCAGAGACUAAAAUACAUCCCAGGGAUUUAGUAUGUUAACGUCAUGGACAGUCAAAGUAAACACGACUUGUGCAAUGCCAAAAAAAACCCACAUGUAUCGACAAGCAUUAGGAUAGUUAGGAGUUUACCUCUUUAUACAAAAGAAUGAACGUUUGUGUGUCUUUAUACACAAUUGAUGUUAAGAACCCGACC